rnacentral:lncRNA from 1 species
GUUCAGUCUAAGCACAAAUCAAGUGUAACAGGGUAGCUUGGCCUUACUAACCUGUGAUACAAUCCAGGGUUCUCAUAAUUGGUAUUUGCACCCUUGCUCACAACUUGUUUGCUGUUUGGGACUCGAAACAAUGAUGAAAGAAAAGUGGCUGGCCUACUAAUCUUUCAUACCCAGAAUUCUGCCUAAAUUUGCUAACAUUUAGCUUGAGACAUCCAUUAGGCUUGUGAAGCCAUUGAGCAAGGAUGACAACUACGGCUCUAACUAGUAACAAUGUGAUUCAAAAGGUCA